rnacentral:rRNA from 1 species
GAAACGAUGGCUAAUACCGCAUGAUGCCUACGGGCCAAAGAGGGGGACCUUCGGGCCUCUCGCGUCAGGAUAUGCCUAGGUGGGAUUAGCUAGUUGGUGAGGUAAGGGCUCACCAAGGCGACGAUCCCUAGCUGGUCUGAGAGGAUGAUCAGCCACACUGGAACUGAGACACGGUCCAGACUCCUACGGGAGGCAGCAGUGGGGAAUAUUGCACAAUGGGCGCAAGCCUGAUGCAGCCAUGCCGCGUGUGUGAAGAAGGCCUUCGGGUUGUAAAGCACUUUCAGUCGUGAGGAAGGUAGUGUAGUUAAUAGCUGCAUUAUUUGACGUUAGCGACAGAAGAAGCACCGGCUAACUCCGUGCCAGCAGCCGCGGUAAUACGGAGGGUGCGAGCGUUAAUCGGAAUUACUGGGCGUAAAGCGCAUGCAGGUGGUUUGUUAAGUCAGAUGUGAAAGCCCGGGGCUCAACCUCGGAAUAGCAUUUGAAACUGGCAGACUAGAGUACUGUAGAGGGGGGUAGAAUUUCAGGUGUAGCGGUGAAAUGCGUAGAGAUCUGAAGGAAUACCGGUGGCGAAGGCGGCCCCCUGGACAGAUACUGACACUCAGAUGCGAAAGCGUGGGGAGCAAACAGGAUUAGAUACCCUGGUAGUCCACGCCGUAAACGAUGUCUACUUGGAGGUUGUGGCCUUGAGCCGUGGCUUUCGGAGCUAACGCGUUAAGUAGACCGCCUGGGGAGUACGGUCGCAAGAUUAAAACUCAAAUGAAUUGACGGGGGCCCGCACAAGCGGUGGAGCAUGUGGUUUAAUUCGAUGCAACGCGAAGAACCUUACCUACUCUUGACAUCCAGAGAACUUUCCAGAGAUGGAUUGGUGCCUUCGGGAACUCUGAGACAGGUGCUGCAUGGCUGUCGUCAGCUCGUGUUGUGAAAUGUUGGGUUAAGUCCCGCAACGAGCGCAACCCUUAUCCUUGUUUGCCAGCGAGUAAUGUCGGGAACUCCAGGGAGACUGCCGGUGAUAAACCGGAGGAAGGUGGGGACGACGUCAAGUCAUCAUGGCCCUUACGAGUAGGGCUACACACGUGCUACAAUGGCGCAUACAGAGGGCGGCCAACUUGCGAAAGUGAGCGAAUCCCAAAAAGUGCGUCGUAGUCCGGAUUGGAGUCUGCAACUCGACUCCAUGAAGUCGGAAUCGCUAGUAAUCGUGGAUCAGAAUGCCACGGUGAAUACGUUCCCGGGCCUUGUACACACCGCCCGUCACA